rnacentral:lncRNA from 1 species
GUAUCAAAAUUCAACAGGUUCCUGUACCACAUAGCAAAGGAGUUUGGGGUGUGAUUCCGCUGUGUUGGGGCUUGGGAUCGAGUCCAACAUUGCAGGCGUCAAGGCUCCCUCAUUUUGAUGCCAUUUGCAGGAUUUCAGACGGCCGGACCAGUCAGACAAAUUGAUGAUAUAGCAAAAGGGGUUCUCUAGAUUGAUUGGAUAGCCAAAAAUGUUCCAACGUGUCCAGAUAUUACUUGUGGGCCUAAAGGAAAUUGCUCUGCUUCCCUCAGAAAACUAUAUCAAAAAUUAGAACCAAUCCAUGGUUCUAAGUUGUUCGUGCACGAGGACCAAUUCACGGUUUUUCAUGCUGUUUGUACAGAAAAAGGGUGACAAGUGAGGCCAGCAAUGUAAGUGGCACCUGUAGAGAUAGCUCAGCACUAAUGGAGUAAGAGGCUCAAAAUCAGACUGACCAAAACUUCAUCAGGAGUAAAAAAGCACCACCGUUUUAGCACAGCAGCUAAUGUGAAAGCAAGAACAAAUCUCCAUAAUACUUGUCUAUAGGUUCACAGACAUAUGGAUCCACAGUCGAGGGGAGACAAAAUAUAAGGAUUCUUCAAAUUAAACCAUCCAUGUUCAACAGAGCACAACAUAAGAUAGGUGGAUAACUAGGGAGGUACUCAGAUCAAGUAUCAAAACUCAACAAGCACUACAAUAUAACAAUGCGCUCUAAUCUUCCUCCUCGCCCUCGUUCUCGGCAAUGUUGAAGUACCGGAGCUCGUACACGUUGCGCUCCUUGUUGGCUGCGAUCACACGAAGCCAGUCCCGCACGUUGUGCUUCUUCAAGUACUUCUUGGUCAAGUACUUCAGGUACCUGAGAAGCCAGACGAAUGAUGUCAUCAGAUCAUAUACAACCAAAGAUGGCUGCUGGUAACGUAUAUUGGACAAGAA